rnacentral:rRNA from 1 species
UACGUAGGGUGCGAGCGUUAAUCGGAAUUACUGGGCGUAAAGCGUGCGCAGGCGGUUUUGUAAGUCAGAUGUGAAAUCCCCGGGCUUAACCUGGGAACUGCGUUUGAAACUACAAGGCUAGAGUGUGGCAGAGGGGGGUGGAAUUCCCGGUGUAGCGGUGGAAUGCGUAGAGAUCGGGAAGAACAUCGGUGGCGAAGGCGGCCUGCUGGGCUGUUGCUGACGCUGAGGCGCGACAGCGUGGGGAGCAAACAGG